rfam:Hordeum vulgare subsp. vulgare, WGS project CAJW01000000 data, contig: morex_contig_140322
GAAGUACUCCCUCCGUCCGUCCGAAAAUACUUGUCCUAGAAAUGCACGUAUCUAGACUUAUUUUAGUUAUAGAUACAUUCAUUUUAUUCAUUUUUAAAAUAAGUAUUUCCGAAUGGAGGAAGUAUAUU